CUAAGCAUGUCUGCCAGAGGACGGAUGUGAUUUGACGAUCGUAUGGACAGUGUAGAAGGAAAGCCUAUGAGUCAAGAAUGCAAUGCAAAAGUCUACAAAGUUAAAGCAUAGUAGGACUCAAGGGGACUAACAAUUAUGUUGUAUUAUUUCUUAUUACUGAGUAUCAUAUAUAUGGCCGCCCCCAUACAAUGAUGUUUCUUCAGUAUUAAAGAUUAUUACAUCCUAAGCCAAACCUGUCUCAGGGUAAAGGAGAAUUGCGGCAUGUAAUGUUUGAACUGGUCAUUGAGACAUCAGUAUAAAAUGCAUACCACAUGACCAGGAAGAAAUCAAUUGUUUUAUCCUUAGAUAAAAGCUUUAAGAUUUAAUGAGAAUCAGAGAAAGAACUUAAAUAUACCCACUUCCAAAUACAUAAGCUAAUAAUGUUUUUUAACA
rnacentral:sRNA from 1 species